rnacentral:rRNA from 1 species
GAUGAACGCUAGCGGCAGGCUUAAUACAUGCAAGUCGAGGGACAGCACAGGUAGCAAUACUGGGUGGUAACCGGCAAACGGGUGCGGAACACGUACACAACCUUCCUUUAAGUGGGGGAUAGCCCAGAGAAAUUUGGAUUAAUACCCCGUAAUAUAGUUGAAUGGCAUCAUUUGAUUAUUAUAGCUACGGCGCUUAAUGAUGGGUGUGCGGCUGAUUAGAUAGUUGGCGGGAUAACGGCCCACCAAGUCUACGAUCAGUAGCUGAUGUGAGAGCAUGAUCAGCCACACGGGCACUGAGACACGGGCCCGACUCCUACGGGAGGCAGCAGUAAGGAAUAUUGGUCAAUGGACGCGAGUCUGAACCAGCCACGCCGCGUGAAGGAUUAAGGUCCUCUGGAUUGUAAACUUCUUUUAUUUGGGACGAAAAAGGGCCUUUCUAGGUCAACUGACGGUACCAGAUGAAUAAGCACCGGCUAACUCCGUGCCAGCCGCCGCGGUAAAAC